GACGAACGCUGGCGGCGUGCCUAACACAUGCAAGUCGAACGCGUCUGUGCUUCGGUACAGAUGAGUGGCGAACGGGUGAGUAACGCGUGAGUAACUCCCCUUGGGGAGGGGGAUAACCAUCUGAAAAGGUGGCUAAUACCCCAUAUUCUCUUUUCUCAUAAGAGGAAGGAGGAAAGGUGGCGCAAGCUGCCACCCCGAGAGAGGCUCGCGUCCCAUCAGCUAGUUGGUAGGGUAAUGGCCUACCAAGGCUAUGACGGGUAGCUGGUCUGAGAGGAUGGUCAGCCACACUGGGACUGAGACACGGCCCAGACUCCUACGGGAGGCAGCAGUGAGGAAUCUUGGGCAAUGGGCGAAAAGCCUGACCCAGCGACGCCGCGUGGAGGAAGAAGGCCUUCGGGUCGUAAACUACCUAGUUUUGGGGAGAAGGAACAAAGAAGAAGAAGUUAAAUAAGACUUCUCUCUCUGACGGUAGUCCCCGGAGAAAGACUCCGGCGUAAUUAACGUGCCAGCAGCCGAC
rnacentral:rRNA from 1 species